rnacentral:rRNA from 1 species
UACGAAGGGGGCUAGCGUUGCUCGGAAUCACUGGGCGUAAAGCGCACGUAGGCGGCUUCUAAGUCAGGGGUGAAAUCCUGGAGCUCAACUCCAGAACUGCCUUUGAUACUGGAGAGCUUGAGUCCGGAAGAGGUGAGUGGAAUUCCGAGUGUAGAGGUGAAAUUCGUAGAUAUUCGGAAGAACACCGGUGGCGAAGGCGGCUCUCUGGGCCUGUCCUGACGCUCAGGCGCGAAAGCUAGGGGAGCGAACAGG